rnacentral:rRNA from 1 species
UUAGUCAAUGCUCGCAAGAGUGAACUAGCUAACUGAAAUCACAAGCAAUUUUUAUAAUUAAUUGUGAUAAGGUAAGGGAAAAAACUGAUAUUACCUUACUAUUAGUGUUGUCCAAAUCUGGUGCCAGAAGACUCGGUAAGACCAGAAACGCAAACGUUAAUCAUCUUAAUCAGGCGUAAAGGGUUCGUAGGCGGCUUUUAAUUUUUUUAUUAAAAAAAAAGCUCUUUAUUUAAAAAAAGAAAAAUAAAAAUUGUAAUAAAAGCUAGAAUCAUCAAUAGGAUAUGAAAAAUGCUUAGAGUAGGGAUAAAAUCCAUAGAUACUAGGUGGAAUACUAACGGCGAAAGCUUCUAUCUACAAAUGAUUGACGCUGAGGAACGAAGGUGAGAAUAGGAAAUAGGAUUUGGUACCCAGAUACCUCUCACAGUCAACGAUGAAUGGUAGUUAGUUAGUUUAAUAAAAAUUGAUAACGAUGCUAACGCGUUAACCAUUCCGCCUUGCGAGUACGGUUGCAAAACUGAAACCAAAAAA